rnacentral:rRNA from 1 species
GAGUUUGAUCCUGCCUCAGAUUUAACGCUGGCGGCAUGCCUUACACAUGCAAGUCGAACGGCAGCAUGAUCUAGCUUGCUAGAUUGAUGGCGAGUGGCGAACGGGUGAGUAAUACAUCGGAACGUGCCCUGUAGUGGGGGAUAACUAGUCGAAAGAUUAGCUAAUACCGCAUACGACCUGAGGGUGAAAGUGGGGGACCGCAAGGCCUCAUGCUAUAGGAGCGGCCGAUGUCUGAUUAGCUAGUUGGUGAGGUAAAGGCUCACCAAGGCGACGAUCAGUAGCUGGUCUGAGAGGACGAUCAGCCACACUGGGACUGAGACACGGCCCAGACUCCUACGGGAGGCAGCAGUGGGGAAUUUUGGACAAUGGGGGCAACCCUGAUCCAGCAAUGCCGCGUGUGUGAAGAAGGCCUUCGGGUUGUAAAGCACUUUUGUCCGGAAAGAAAUCGCACUUACUAAUAUUAGGUGUGGAUGACGGUACCGGAAGAAUAAGGACCGGCUAACUACGUGCCAGCAGCCGCGGUAAUACGUAGGGUCCAAGCGUUAAUCGGAAUUACUGGGCGUAAAGCGUGCGCAGGCGGUUGUGCAAGACCGAUGUGAAAUCCCCGGGCUUAACCUGGGAAUUGCAUUGGUGACUGCACGGCUAGAGUGUGUCAGAGGGGGGUAGAAUUCCACGUGUAGCAGUGAAAUGCGUAGAGAUGUGGAGGAAUACCGAUGGCGAAGGCAGCCCCCUGGGAUAACACUGACGCUCAUGCACGAAAGCGUGGGGAGCAAACAGGAUUAGAUACCCUGGU